ensembl:misc_RNA Y_RNA Y RNA
AACUGGUCUGAUGGUAGUGGGUUAUCAGAAUUUAUUAACAUUAGUGUCACUAAAGUUGGUAUACAACCCUCCACUGCUAAAUUUGACUGGCUUAAA